CCAGACUCCUACGGGAGGCAGCAGUGAGGAAUAUUGGUCAAUGGGCGAGAGCCUGAACCAGCCAAGUCGCGUGAAGGAUGACGGCCCUACGGGUUGUAAACUUCUUUUGUCAGGGAGCAAUUGGGUCCACGCGUGGGCUUAGCGAGAGUACCUGAAGAAAAAGCAUCGGCUAACUCCGUGCCAGCAGCCGCGGUAAUACGGGGGGUGCAAGCGUUGUCCGGAAUCAUUGGGCGUAAAGAGUUCGUAGGCGGCACGUAAAGUCUGGUGUUAAAGGCAGAGGCUCAACUUCUGUACGGCACUGGAUACUUGCGAGCUAGAAUGCGGUAGAGGGAAAGGGAAUUCCUGGUGUAGCGGUGAAAUGCUUAGAUAUCAGGAGGAACAUCGGUGGCGUAAGCGCUUUACUGGGCCGUAAUUGACGCUGAGGAACGAAAGCCAGGGUAGCAAAUGGGAUUAGAUACCCCCGUAGUC
rnacentral:rRNA from 1 species